rnacentral:rRNA from 1 species
UACAGAGGGUGCGAGCGUUGUCCGGAAUCACUGGGCGUAAAGGGCGCGUAGGCGGCCUGAUAAGUAGGGGGGUGAAAUCCUGUGGCUUAACUGCAGGGCUGCCUCCUAGACUGUUAGGCUCGAGCACGGUAGAGGCAGAUGGAAUUCCCGGUGUAGCGGUGGAAUGCGUAGAGAUCGGGAAGAACAUCGGUGGCGAAGGCGGUCUGCUGGGCCGUUGCUGACGCUGAGGCGCGACAGCGUGGGG